rnacentral:rRNA from 1 species
ACUGCUCAGUAACACGUGGAUAACUGCCCUGCGGUGGGAAAUAACCCCGGGAAACUGGGGAUAAUGUCCCAUAGGCUACGGAUGCUGGAAUGCUCUGUAGCUCAAAGAUUUAUCGCCACAGGAUGGGUCUGCGGCCGAUUAGGUAGUUGUUGGGGUAACGGCCCAACAAGCCUUUGAUCGGUACGGGUUGUGGGAGCAAGAGCCCGGAGAUGGAUUCUGAGACACGAAUCCAGGCCCUACGGGGCGCAGCAGGCGCGAAAACUCUACAAUGCAGGCAACUGCGAUAGGGGAACAUCGAGUGAUACUCAUCUUGGGUGUCUGUCCUCCCGUCUAAAAAACGGGAGUUAGCAAGGGCCGGGCAAGACCGGUGCCAGCCGCCGCGGUAAUACCGGCGGCUCGAGUGGUGGCCGAUAUUAUUGAGUCUAAAGGGUCCGUAGCCGGCUUUGCAAGUCUUUUGGGAAAUCCAGCGGCUUAACCGUUGGUCGUCCGGGAGAUACUACAUUGCUUGGGACUGGGAGAGGUAGGAGGUACUCAGGGGGUAGGAGUGAAAUCCUGUAAUCCUUUGGGGACCACCGGUGGCGAAGGCGUCCUACCAGAACAGGUCCGACGGUGAGGGACGAAAGCUAGGGGCACGAACCGGAUUAGAUACCCGGGUAGUCCUAGCCGUAAACGAUGCUCGCUAGGUGUCACAACAAUCGUGAAUUGUUGUGGUGCCGUAGGGAAGCCGUGAAGCGAGCCACUUGGGAAGUACGACCGCAAGGUUGAAACUUAAAGGAAUUGGCGGGGGAG